UACGUAGGGUGCGAGCGUUAAUCGGAAUUACUGGGCGUAAAGCGUGCGCAGGCGGUUCGUUGUGUCUGUGGUGAAAGCCCCGGGCUUAACCUGGGAAUGGCCAUGGAAACUGGCGAGCUGGAGUGUGGCAGAGGGGGGUGGAAUUCCGCGUGUAGCAGUGAAAUGCGUAGAUAUGCGGAGGAACACCGAUGGCGAAGGCAAUCCCCUGGGCCUGCACUGACACUCAUGCACGAAAGCGUGGGGAGCAAACAGG
rnacentral:rRNA from 1 species